AUUGAACGCUGGCGGCAGGCCUCACACAUGCAAGUCGAACGAGUGGCGGACGGGUGAGUAAUAUCUGGGAAACUGCCCGAUGGAGGGGGAUAACUACUGGAAACGGUAGCUAAUACCGCAUACCAUCGGAUGUGCCCAGAUGGGAGUAGCUAGUAGGUGGGUUAACGGCUCACCUAGGCGACGAUCCCUAGCUGGUCUGAGAGGAUGACCAUCCACACUGGAACUGAGACUCGGUCCAGACGCCUACGGGAGGCAGCAGGGGUGAAUAUUGCACAAUGGGAGCAAGCCUGGUGCAGCCAUGCCGCGUGUAUGAAGAAGGCCUUCGGGUUGUAAAGUACUUUCAGCGGGGAGGCGUUACCCGCAGAAGAAGCACCGGCUAACUCCGUGCCAGCAGCCGCGGUAAUAC
rnacentral:rRNA from 1 species